rnacentral:rRNA from 1 species
GACGGGGGGGGCAAGUGUUCUUCGGAAUGACUGGGCGUAAAGGGCACGUAGGCGGUGAAUCGGGUUGAAAGUGAAAGUCGCCAAAAAGUGGCGGAAUGCUCUCGAAACCAAUUCACUUGAGUGAGACAGAGGAGAGUGGAAUUUCGUGUGUAGGGGUGAAAUCCGUAGAUAUCGGGAGGAAUACCAAUGGCGAAGGCAGCUCUCUGGCUCGUAACUGACACUGAGAUUCGAAAGCAUGGGUAGCAAACAGG